rnacentral:rRNA from 1 species
AUGUACAUGUCGCCCGACGCGUGGUGGAACUGCAGGCCCAGCGGCCGCCCGCACGCGCUCUCCGGCUCCACCACCUUCUUCCUCGCCGCGCACUCCGCCACCGUCCUGCGUGUUCGGUUAGCUCACGAUCGUGCUGUGCCCAAGGUUGUGCAUGGCCGGUUGAUCGAUCACUCACUUGUGCUUGUAGUUGUGGGCGAACUCGGUCCAGCCGCGGUGGCGGCGGUUGCCCCUCCACCGGACGACGCGACCGUUGGAAACGCCGGUGUACGGGCCGCCGCCGCGGUGGUCAAAGACGAUGCUCUCCGGGCCGAACGCCGGCCGGGCCAACCGCACCGGUAUGACCCUCGAGCCGGCGUAAAUAGACUUCAUCUCCUGGGUGGCGGCCGCCAUUGGAGGUGGCCAUAUGAGAAAUGCGAGGGAGAGGAAGGACAUGAGCAAGGUGGCAGAGCGACAAUGCCUGGCCUCCUCCAUGUCCAUUAA